GAAGGGCAAGGCAAGGAGCCCGGCUGAGGCUGCGCAGAAAGCUCUGACACAAUUGUGCUUCCUGAUUGUCGCCUCCUGCCUGCAAGCCACUGAACGUUUCCCACUUGAUAUCAUCAUGCAGAAAGGGAGAAGCGAGACGCAAUGAGAGAUUCAGGUACCAAAAGAUUAAAGUCAGCUGCUCAUCUGCAAACUGCCUAGCCAUUGUCCUUCACUGGUGAGAUACAAGGAGGAAGUUGUGGGACGAGAGGAACUACACUAGACUUCAGAUUUUUGGACUAUACGGCAAGACUGUAAGAUACUUGUU
rnacentral:lncRNA from 1 species